CUUACGAACAGAGUAUCCUCAUAGCUUUCCUCAGUAGAGACUUCCGGCGCGGCCGGAAUUGGCUCGCUUGGCCCGGAAGUCCCGCCUCCUUCUGGACGCUUGCUAUGUGACGCCACUUGGAAGGGACCCAGUAAGGGAUCUGUUGCGCCACAGGGGUCUCCAGGGCCCUCGCAGGUUGGGGUGGUCUGAGCUAGUCUGAAGGAGGACAGUCAGCUGACUUCUCCUUUAUCUCUCUUUCCCAGGAUAGCAGGUUCCCUUGGUGUAUUACAGUUUCUGAAGUGUUGAUUCCCUUUUCAAUUGAUUCCACAGAUGACAGUCCUGACGUUUAAAAAAUUGCCAGAUAACCUUUAAUUUUUUUUUUUUUAACAGAACACAAACUUAAGCCAGAUUGCCUAGGAUUGAACCUUGGCCUCUCACUUCCUAGACGAGUGGCCUUGGCUAGUUAACCACCUUCGUGAGCCUCAGUUUUGUCAUCUGUAAAAUGGGAGUCAUAAGUGUCUACCUCACAGAGCUGUGAUUGAAAGGAUAAAUAGCACCUUGCACAUAGCGGUGUAGAAGUGCUUGUUAUUGUUAAUAUUUUAUUUACCUUCACGCAGGUAACAGCCACAACAUCUGCCCACUCUUCCCCACACCUUACUGUCCCUUGAAAUGUUUCCCAUUUUACUAUAGUAUGCAUUUUUUGGCUUCUUCCCUUUAGGGAAAUGAGUAUGUGAUAGUAAAGCGUGUCUUGGUUUAUGUCCUAGGAGUCAGAAGCUAAGAGACUCCUUUUUGUGCUUGUACAUUUGUCUUAACUGAAAAUAACCCAAGGAUAAGGAAACAAAUAGCUUCCUGAAAUUACUCGGAUUGCGGGGGUGAGGGGUGAGGGCUGGGGGGUGGUGAUUCUGUCUUCAUAGGAUGGCAGCAAAGGCCAAAGUCUUAUUUGAGUUAUUACCAUUAUUAUUCACCACACUUGCCAUCUUAUUUCAAGCCUACAGUGGCGGAAGUGGAGUAAGACAUCAUGUUGCCUCAAGUUUAAUUGGAAAUCGCGUGCCUUGUGAAGAAUGGACACUCAGUAGAUGCUUAUUGAUGAACCUGUUGGUUGAGGAUAACUCGCUAACUUUUCUGAGCUUUGUUGGAAAAACUCAGGUCACUGUAUCUCUAUGCAUUACAGAAAAUGGCUAGUUAAAAACUUGUCAAGGCCAGUUGCAGGCAUGAUACCAGCAGUCUGGGAGGUAGAGACAAGAGGACACAUCUCUGCUGCUCCCUUCUUUCCCCAUGGUUAUGCGCCAACUUUGGUUUCACCAGGCCUACAGUGCUUCCCAGGUUUGGAGUGUGGGGAAGGAGAAGAUUUAAUGGAAGCAGCUUAAGGGAAAUGCUCAAACUAAACUGAUACUUUCUUCAUGAUCUAGCAUUGAAACUUUCUGGACUUGACAGAUAUUUAAAAUUAACUCUUUUUCUCAUUAACAUUUUCAUGGGUUCUUCCAAGAUCCACAUUACCCAACCUGUGGGUUCCCAUGACAAGGAUUAAGGCAUCUCUGUUUCUUCUGGACCUUUAUUUACCUGGAUUCUUUCUCUAGGGACUGUUUACCCUUAUGGGCCAUCCUUUUGAGCAUAACCUAACAAGAUUCAUGCUGGCUUUAAGUGAGUGGUCCACAUUUGGUUCAUGGGAAAACCACAUAGUUUGUCCCCAGCAAACCUGGAAGUAAUAUUUAUUUUACUGCUGGAAUUAAGGAAAACCAAAAAUCCUAUUACAAAAUGGCUCCUCUAAACAUUCACAUUACCCCUUUUUGUCUCUACCCCCUGAGGAACUAACCAACUCUAGCUCUUUGGAUUUUCCAAAUGAGAGGUCAACACAUCGAUGUCUCCAAGACCUUAAGUUCUUCUAGUGGUCUCUUUAAGCUUCCUCCCUUGAAUUAUGGUGAAAAGGGACUGCCUGCUACCCCCUCCUCUUGAGGAGAGGGGUGGUAUCACAGCCUAACAAUAAUUUCCAAAAAUUUUCUCCUCCAGCUCUAAUGCUUAACCAGUUUAGACUUUCAAAGUGGAUAAUGUAAUUUAAAGCCUUACAGCUAGUUAUGCUCUACUUCUUCUAUAAGUCCUGCAACCAGGUGGUCUCAAUCCUCACUUGCGAAUACUGCAUUUACUCACCUUGUGCCCUAGCCAAAACUUCCACAACAAAUUCUGUGGUGCAUUUAAGUGAAAGAUGUUAUUUGAUUGAUAGAGAGAUAGAUAGAUAGAUACAGAUAUAGAUAUAGAUAUGUAUUAGAACCAUGUCAAAUGGUUAACUUUUUUAAAAAGGUAAAUUUUUUAUAUUGAGAUAAUUAUAGAUUCUCAUACACUCGUAAGAAAUAACACAGAAAGAUCCCAUGUAGCCUUUAUCCAGUUUCCCCAGUGAUAAUAUCUUGCAAAACUAUAGUCCAAUAUCACAACCAAGAUACUGGCAUUGAUAGAUCACUUCCAUCACCACAAACAUCCCUCAUGUUGCCCUUUUAUAGCCACACUCAUUUCCCUCCUGCUGCCACCCUCUCCUUUACCCAUAACCACUUAUCUGUUCUCUAUUUUUGUAAUUUUAUCAUUUCAAGAAUACUGUAGAAAUGGAAUAAUACAGUAUGUAUUUUAGGGCUUAUCUUUUCUACACUCGGCAUGAUUCUCUGGAGAUUCAUCCAGGUUGUUGCAUGUAUCAAUAGUUCAUUCCUUUUUUACUGCUGAACAGUAUUCCAUUGUAUGUAUGUACCAUAGUUUAACUAUUUGCUCAAUGAAAGACAUAUAUUAAUAGUUUCCAGUUUUUGCUGUUAUGAAUAAAGCUACUAUAAACAUUCAUGUACAGGUUUUUGUAUUAAUGCAAGUCUUCAUUUCUUUGGAAGAGAUGACUGAAGUUCAAUUACUGGGUUACGUGGUAGUUGCAUAUUUCUUUUUUAAAGAAACUGCCAAACUGUUUUUCAGAGCAUCUGUAUCAUUUUAUAUUCUCACCAGCAACGUAUCAAUGACCUAGUUUCUCUACAUCCUUUCUAGCCUUAAUUGUCUUUGUUUUUUUAUUUUACUUUGUUUGUUUGUUUUGAGACAGGGUCUUUCUCUGUUGCCCAGGCUGGAAUUCAGUAGUGUAAUCAAGGCUCACUGAAGCCUGACCUCCCGGCUGAAGUGAACUGCCCACCUCAGUGCUGGAAGUAGGGUGGGGCGUCAGCCACCAGUAGCAGGACUGUAGGCAUCUGCCACCAUGCCUGGCUGAUUUCUCUUUUUUCUUUUUGCAGAGAUGGGGUUUUACUAUGUUGGAGAAGCUGGUCUCAAACUCCUGGGCUCAAGUCAUCCUCCCGCCUCAGCCUCCCAAAGUGCUGAGAUUACAGACGUGUGCCUGGCCUAUUUUACUCGUUUUAAUAGAUAUUUUAUUACUUACAGGUUGAGGGCUCAUGACACUCCUGGUGGCCAUAUACGCAGAGGUCAGGGAGAGAAAGGGACCUGUGGGCCAGCACCCUUAUUGGGUCCAGAGAGCUAUCCAAACAAGUUUCCAGCAGGGAAUUUAAUUGGUGGAUUUAAAGCAAGCAGGCAUGAGUUCCAGGGGGCCACACUGACUGAGGUAUGUAUGUAUGUACCAUAGUUUAACUAUUUGCUCAAUGAAAGACAUAUAUUAAUAGUUUCCAGUUUUUGCUGUUAUGAAUAAAGCUACUAUAAACAUUCAUGUACAGGUUUUUGUAUUAAUGCAAGUCUUCAUUUCUUUGGAAGAGAUGACUGAAGUUCAAUUACUGGGUUACAUGGUAGUUGCAUAUUUCUUUUUUGCACACUGACAGAGAGGUAGUCACUAUGGCAUGUCUGAAUAGUUCGUUCCGUGUGUGAGUAUCAGCAGGGCCAGUCAAGCAGCCUGCAUCUAGCCACCACCUAGUGAAGUAGUCACCAGAGAGCAGUUGUAUAAGGCAGAUAUCUGGAUCCACCACAUUGAGGAACUGGGGGAAGGGAGCACCAAACCGAAAACUGUGUCCAAGGUGACGGAGUCCUGCCUCUGGUGUGAGAAAGCCCAGCUUAUAUUUAAAGUGGAUGCCAAAGCAAUAUAAAAUUAUAGGAAUUCAUUACCAAACUGAUAGCUUGUGGUUUUAAUUUGCAUUUCCCCAAUGAAUAAUGAUGUUGAGCAUCAUUUCAUGUGUUUAUUUGGCAUCUGUGUUACUGUGUGCAUGAAAUAUGUCUUCAUGUCUUUUGUCCAUGUUCUAAUUGGAUUUUCUCAUACUGUUGAGUUUUGAAAAUUUUUUAUAUAUUCCAUAUACUAGUCCUUUGUUGGAUAUGUGGUUUUCAAGUAUUUUCUCCCAGUCCGUAGCUUACCUUUUUGCCCUCUUAACAGAGUCUUUCACAAAAUGUGUUUUUUUUUUCUUUUUUUUUGAAACAGAGUCUCAGUCUGUCACCCAAGCUGGAGUGCAGUGGUGUGAUCUUGGCUCACUGCAACCUCCACUUCCCGGGUUCAAGUAAUUCUCCUGCUUCAGCCUUCCGAGUAGCUGGGAUUACAGGCUCCCACCACCACAACUGGCUAAUUUUUGUAUUUUUAGAAGAGAC
rnacentral:lncRNA from 10 species